UCGGGGUCUCUGGUUGCCGGACCGACGUCGGAGCCCACUUGCCGGCCGGGCUGCCUUCUUCCUCGAUGCCCUCGAGCCUGGGAAGCGGCGCAUUGUGCUCGGUGCAUUGCUCCAUUGCCUGACGAGAAUCAAAGGUUGGCGCUGAAUUGCUUAUUUAAACAACUGAAAUUUGCAUGUAGUGAUCAGUGGGUAAAAGUCAGUCUGAUGGUUACAGCUAGCUUUACAUUAGCAACCAGUGAAGCAAGAAAGUUGCACUAAUGAGCAUGCAGUUACAGAGGAGAGGAGUGCCAUAAUGUACGCACGUACACACGCUUAACAGGAUGUCAGGGAGGGAUCUUGUAGACUGAGAGAGAAUCCAAAGGUUUUUAUUUGAUGCUAGGAUGGGGCUCAGUGACAUGGACUCUUCUCUUGUCAGAGGAAGCAGUUGCAGAGCACCACGGAGGAAGUUGCUGUCAGGUUUGUCCUAUAUAUGGAAGCUAGGAAGAGACAAGCUUGGUAGGCAGCAUCAUUAACUUAUCGCGCAUCUAGCAAGGGCGAGCUAAUUCUAUAUUCUUCUACAGUUACAUCCUGGCUUUCUGCAGCUAAUGCCUAAUUGCCUGCUACUUAUCUCUUUCAUCAAGAAACAAUAAUGUCGAUCCAUUUGCUCCACACAAGUCUAAUCAAAUGCAAUGCCUUUCAUUCCCAAGGCCUCCCAUGAAAAGAGCUCAAAUUUUGCUUUUCAAAGUAAAACGGCGUAGUGGCCAGCAUCUUUGUGUGCCACGCCUAUGGUGCCUGGAGUAUGGAGUAUGGUGUUCAAUCUAGCAAGGCAAUAUGAUCGUGCAGCAUUUGAUAGUUGAUACAGUACAGAGGUGAAGCCUCUCUGACAGAAGCACAGCAACCCCAGUUUGAUUCUGCAAGCAUUUGCAGUGUUGGCAUCCGAAAGACUGAAGUUACUGAACCCAUGAACUGAACACCAUGCUCAACAAGGAACAGAGCAGAGGAAGAGAAACAUGGAUCUGCAUCUGUUGGUCUUCAAUUUUCAGGCAGGGCGUGAUCAUUAGAUGCGAGAUAAUUGCACACUGCUAGUAUAUACUGGGUGAUGAUGUGGUUACGUGCGCGUGAUCUGAAUCAUUGGUCAGCAACAAAAUAAAGUGCAGUACUUGUGCCCAUGACAUCGAGCUAAGCGCAUGCCUGAUGGCAUUUACAAGUACUUGAGACAAAAGUGUUUGGCAUCAACUAGUGACGAAAUUGAAUCACAUGAAACAAACAAGGGAAUAUGCCUUGUCAUUAGCAUCCUGGUGAUCAAAGCGACUUGCUUUCGUAUUUUCAUGAAAUAUGCUGAUGGGGCUUGCUUAUCUCUUCUUUGUCUGCUUUAAUGGUCCGUAUGAUUGGGUGCUUACGGAAAGAGAAUGAUUCAGGGCUUCCUCCUUUUCAUGUUGGAGGGAAUGAUGCGCCCUGCAAUCCGUGUUUCCUGCAGCUCGUGCCAAGAAUUCUUGCUAGCUCCUCGCGUCAAGGGGCCCAUUAGGCAUUUGGAGACACGAAUCUGGGAAUCAAUCCUGUGCAAGAAGAAUUGUUCUCCUCCUGGUUGAAAUAAAAUAACUAUCAGUUUUUUCUUUCAAUUUUGCAGGUACAUUGGACUGGUAUCUUCUGGUACCAUUUCAAAAGAAGAAAAACAUAAAGAGCUGCACCAAGGAGCGCUAUCUUGUCUUUUUCAUAAUUGCUUCAUUUGCCCGUACAUGUUUUUUCUCGGGCUAAAGCUCCCCGAAUAGCAAGCAAAUUGAGUAAUUGGCCGACGCUAGUCCACCACCCACCUGCUCAUGAUCCCACACAUUAUGCUACAAGGUUUAUUUAUCUUUGAUCUUCUGCAUCCCAUCUUUCCUGUAUUUCUUAGUGAGCAACAUCAUGAUGCAGAUAUACAUCGAGCUUGUCCUAAGUGCUUAGUGACAUCAAGAUCAAGAGGCAUAAGGCAAAAACUUGUUUCCAGUUAGUAGUUUUUUUGUUGGCUUUCCCUAGAAAAAUAUAACCCCAAGCAAUUGACAAGCUUUGUUUUGCUUUCCUUCCUUUUUCCACUCCAGCAUGCCAAAAGAAAUACUACACGCUUGAGAAAGCAAGCGUCUCAUCAUCGCCGUUCGUGCACGGAAAAGAUAAAAGGUGCUGCUACAACGUGAUGAUAAGACUCUUUCGUGGUAGUGGAAGCAGCUGUUCGUUCGCUCGACAAGACCCUAAAUUUUGGGGGCACCAACUCCCA
rnacentral:lncRNA from 1 species